rnacentral:rRNA from 1 species
AGUGAACGCUGGCGGUAGGCCUAACACAUGCAAGUCGAACGGCAGCACAGUAAGAGCUUGCUCUUACGGGUGGCGAGUGGCGGACGGGUGAGGAAUACAUCGGAAUCUACUUUUUCGUGGGGGAUAACGUAGGGAAACUUACGCUAAUACCGCAUACGACCUACGGGUGAAAGCAGGGGAUCUUCGGACCUUGCGCGAUUGAAUGAGCCGAUGUCGGAUUAGCUAGUUGGCGGGGUAAAGGCCCACCAAGGCGACGAUCCGUAGCUGGUCUGAGAGGAUGAUAAGCCACACUGGAACUGAGACACGGUCCAGACUCCUACGGGAGGCAGCAGUGGGGAAUAGUGGACAAUGGGCGCAAGCCUGAUCCAGCCAUACCGCGUGGGUGAAGAAGGCCUUCGGGUUGUAAAGCCCUUUUGUUGGGAAAGAAAAGCAGCAGGUUAAUACCCCGCUGUUCUGACGGUACCCAAAGAAUAAGCACCGGCUAACUUCGUG